CCGAGUGAGGGCCCUCUGGGUCCAACCUCCCACCCGUGUUUAUUUUACCUUGUUGCUUCGGCGGGCCCGCCUUAACUGGCCGCCGGGGGGCUCACGCCCCCGGGCCCGCGCCCGCCGAAGACACCCUCGAACUCUGUCUGAAGAUUGAAGUCUGAGUGAAAAUAUAAAUUAUUUAAAACUUUCAACAACGGAUCUCUUGGUUCCGGCAUCGAUGAAGAACGCAGCGAAAUGCGAUACGUAAUGUGAAUUGCAAAUUCAGUGAAUCAUCGAGUCUUUGAACGCACAUUGCGCCCCCUGGUAUUCCGGGGGGCAUGCCUGUCCGAGCGUCAUUGCUGCCCUCAAGCCCGGCUUGUGUGUUGGGCCCCGUCCUCCGAUUUCCGGGGGACGGGCCCGAAAGGCAGCGGCGGCACCGCGUCCGGUCCUCGAGCGUAUGGGGCUUUGUCACCCGCUCUGUAGGCCCGGCCGGCGCUUGCCGAUCAACCCAUAU
rnacentral:rRNA from 1 species